rnacentral:rRNA from 1 species
GACGAACGCUUGCUUCUUUCUUAACACAUGCAAGUCGAACGGAAAGGCCCUGCUUUUGUGGGGUGCUCGAGUGGCGAACGGGUGAGUAACACGUGAGUAACCUGCCCUUGACUUUGGGAUAACUUCAGGAAACUGGGGCUAAUACCGGAUAGGAGCUCCUGCUGCAUGGUGGGGGUUGGAAAGUUUCGGCGGUUGGGGAUGGACUCGCGGCUUAUCAGCUUGUUGGUGGGGUAGUGGCUUACCAAGGCUUUGACGGGUAGCCGGCCUGAGAGGGUGACCGGCCACAUUGGGACUGAGAUACGGCCCAGACUCCUACGGGAGGCAGCAGUGGGGAAUAUUGCACAAUGGGCGGAAGCCUGAUGCAGCAACGCCGCGUGCGGGAUGACGGCCUUCGGGUUGUAAACCGCUUUCGCCUGUGACGAAGCGUGAGUGACGGUAAUGGGUAAAGAAGCACCGGCUAACUACGGG